GUAAUUUUUUUUGUAAAUAUUCAUGCAUUUUAUUACUUUAAUUUGUGUAUUUUUAAUAAUAAUGCUACGUAAAAACAACACUCUUAGGCAUGAUUUCCCACCUCUGCCUCCACUUGGGGGCUCCCGGGGGAAAAUCAUCUCCAUCUCACUCAAUCUCCAGACCUGCAAGCCUGAACAAGCCCCCCACCCCACCACCUGCAGCACCAGAAGCUCCACUUCCAGGCUGUGAUCUGACCCAACAGGUUCUGAGCCCGUCAGUCGUCAACGACACGUCACUGCCCGGCAACAAAACAGCUCCUAAUGAGGAGGACACCGAUUCAUUAUACCGCCGGAUCUGACGCCAGCUCUGACGCCGAAUAUUCCCACAGUUCUGCCGGGGCUGGCACGGCUUGAAAAGCAGCGGCUGACAAAGCGGAGCGAAUCUUGGCGGCUCCUCUGCCUUUAAUGGCUGUGGAGAAAGAGGACGUGGAGCUCGGUGUGGGCGUGAGGGGAGAUGAAGGAGACGACACCUUCAGAUGAAAACUGUGGAUUCGCCCUUGAAAGGAGAAGAAGAAAAGGCAGCCUCUGUGAGGACUGAGGCAACUUUUUUUGAUCUGCUGCCUUCAGUGUCAGAGCAGGAGGAUGAAAAGGAGGCGGUUACCACAUGAAAGGUGAGCGGCGACCUGUGUGUGCUGGUGGAGGAUCAAACGACUGCUGGAUGAAAGGGAGCAGAAGAAAGCUCCACGUAGGAUUCCAGCAGUUAGAUCGGCUGCAGCGGAAUCCACCUCCCUCACAGUAAGUGGAAUUCUACGGAAGCCC